rnacentral:rRNA from 1 species
AGGACGACGCUGGCGGCGUGCCUAACACAUGCAAGUCGAACGGAGAUACUUUGAAUGAAGGUUCGAUUGGAUUCGUUGUAUCUUAGUGGCGGACGGGUGAGUAACGCGUGAGUAACCUGCCGAUGAGAGUGGAAUAACGUUCUGAAAAGAACGCUAAUACCGCAUAAAGUAUCGUGACCGCAUGGUCGUGAUACCAAAGAUUUUAUCGCUCAUUGAUGGACUCGCGUCCGAUUAGCUUGUUGCGGGUAACGGCCCACCAAGGCGACGAUCGGUAGCCGGACUGAGAGGUUGAACGGCCACAUUGGGACUGAGACACGGCCCAGACUCCUACGGGAGGCAGCAGUGGGGGAUAUUGCGCAAAUGGGGGAAACCCUGACGCAGCAACGCCGCGUGAAGGAAGACGGUUUUCGGAUUGUAAACUUCUUUUGUUAAGGACGAAGAAAGUGACGGUACUUAACGAAUAAGCUCCGGCUAACUACGUGCCAGCCGCGGC